CCAAGGAGCAGAUUGAGGCACCUCCAUCUAGCUCAUCUAGACCUGCCCUUGAAUUACCAUCAGUAGCUUCCUCAGCACGGGAUGGGUCUUUGCCUCCAAGUUUAUCAGUCGAAUCAUCAUCUCCAU